rnacentral:lncRNA from 1 species
UAUUAUCUUUGGUCUUAAGUGAUAUUACAUUAUGUUUGCUACUCUACAUGUUGAUGUCGGAGACAUAUAUGAGUUGCUUGAAGGAAUGAACAUGUCAUAAUAAGUACCAAGUGAGUUUUUGAGCCUAUUAUUUUUCUUGGAGAAUAACCCUUUUGCCCACUCUUUAUACAGCUUAGCAGUUUAUUAUUUUAUACACGAUCUCUAAAUUACUUUUGAGUUAACCCUUAAAAAAAAAAUUGUAAAAUAAAAAAAAAGAGAAAAAAGAAAAAGAAAAAAGAGUGUGUUGCUACAUUUGGAGGCCCAUCUAACUAGUAGAUAUGGAAGAUUAUUUAGAGCCCUAAAANN